ensembl:snRNA U4 U4 spliceosomal RNA
AGCUUUGCACAGUGGCAGUAUUGUAGCCAAUGAGGUUUAUCCAGGGCACGAUUAUUGUUAAUUGAAAAGCUUUUCCCAAUACCCCACCGUGACGACUUGCAAUGUAGUCGGAAUUGGCAAUUUUUGACAGUCUCUAUGGAGA